CUUUUACAAUGAAGAGUUUGAUCCUGGCUCAGGAUGAACGCUAGCUACAGGCUUAACACAUGCAAGUCGAGGGGCAGCAUUUCAGUUUGCUUGCAAACUGGAGAUGGCGACCGGCGCACGGGUGAGUAACACGUAUCCAACCUGCCGAUAACUCGGGGAUAGCCUUUCGAAAGAAAGAUUAAUACCCGAUGGUAUAAUCAGACCGCAUGGUUUGAUUAUUAAAGAAUUUCGGUUAUCGAUGGGGAUGCGUUCCAUUAGGCAGUUGGUGAGGUAACGGCUCACCAAACCUUCGAUGGAUAGGGGUUCUGAGAGGAAGGUCCCCCACAUUGGAACUGAGACACGGUCCAAACUCCUACGGGAGGCAGCAGUGAGGAAUAUUGGUCAAUGGGCGCAGGCCUGAACCAGCCAAGUAGCGUGAAGGAUGACUGCCCUAUGGGUUGUAAACUUCUUUUAUAUGGGAAUAAAGUUUUCCACGUGUGGAAUUUUGUAUGUACCAUAUGAAUAAGGAUCGGCUAACUCCGUGCCAGCAGCCGCGGUAAUACGGAGGAUCCGAGCGUUAUCCGGAUUUAUUGGGUUUAAAGGGAGCGUAGGUGGACAGUUAAGUCAGUUGUGAAAGUUUGCGGCUCAACCGUAAAAUUGCAGUUGAUACUGGCUGUCUUGAGUACAGUAGAGGUGGGCGGAAUUCGUGGUGUAGCGGUGAAAUGCUUAGAUAUCACGAAGAACUCCGAUUGCGAAGGCAGCUCACUGGACUGCAACUGACACUGAUGCUCGAAAGUGUGGGUAUCAAACAGGAUUAGAUACCCUGGUAGUCCACACAGUAAACGAUGAAUACUCGCUGUUUGCGAUAUACAGUAAGCGGCCAAGCGAAAGCAUUAAGUAUUCCACCUGGGGAGUACGCCGGCAACGGUGAAACUCAAAGGAAUUGACGGGGGCCCGCACAAGCGGAGGAACAUGUGGUUUAAUUCGAUGAUACGCGAGGAACCUUACCCGGGCUUAAAUUGCAUUUGAAUAAUCUGGAAACAGGUUAGCCGCAAGGCAAAUGUGAAGGUGCUGCAUGGUUGUCGUCAGCUCGUGCCGUGAGGUGUCGGCUUAAGUGCCAUAACGAGCGCAACCCUUAUCUUUAGUUACUAACAGGUCAUGCUGAGGACUCUAGAGAGACUGCCGUCGUAAGAUGUGAGGAAGGUGGGGAUGACGUCAAAUCAGCACGGCCCUUACGUCCGGGGCUACACACGUGUUACAAUGGGGGGUACAGAAGGCAGCUACCUGGUGACAGGAUGCUAAUCCCAAAAGCCUCUCUCAGUUCGGAUCGAAGUCUGCAACCCGACUUCGUGAAGCUGGAUUCGCUAGUAAUCGCGCAUCAGCCAUGGCGCGGUGAAUACGUUCCCGGGCCUUGUACACACCGCCCGUCAAGCCAUGAAAGCCGGGGGUACCUGAAGUACGUAACCGCAAGGAGCGUCCUAGGGUAAAACUGGUAAUUGGGGCUAAGUCGUAACAAGGUAGCCGUACCGGAAGGUGCGGCUGGAACACCUCCUUU
rnacentral:rRNA from 1 species